rnacentral:rRNA from 1 species
GACGGAAGGUGCAAGCGUUGCUCGGAAUCACUGGGCGUAAAGGGUGCGUAGGCGGCCGUGCAAGUCUGGCGUGAAAGCCCCGGGCUCAGCCCGGGAAGUGCGCUCGAAACUGCGCGGCUCGAGUGCCGGAGGGGAGAGUGGAAUUCCUGGUGUAGCGGUGAAAUGCGUAGAUAUCAGGAGGAAUACCGGUGGCGAAAGCGGCUUACUGGGUCUCUUCUGACGCUGAGGAACGAAAGCUAGGGGAGCGAACGGG